GACCCCAAGAGUAGUGACGGCAGGAAGCUAGAGACAGGAGAAACUAUUGCUAGGACCGGAGGAGCCAAAGGGAAGAGGUGCUGUUCCCAGAGCCCAGGAGCACGCUCUUCACUGAAAUUGUUCCCACACUGCUGGUGCUUUGAGAAUCCUGUCACUCCUGAAAACACCAAAGGUCACCGGAGCCUGCAGCUGUGCGUGACGUCAGAGCUGCUACUGUCACAGUAGCCCUCACUUGCCAGCAUCUACCAGCCACUGUCUGUCACCGCAAGUGCGGGAAAGACAGAAGGCCAUCUCUGGUGCCACAGCCACCACCAGAAGCUGGAGAAAAAUGUCUUCUCCCUUUCUUCCACCUUCCAAUCUCCUGUCAUUCUCUCCCAUUGGCAGAACCCAGCCAGAAGCCAGCAGGCAAGGGAGUCUGGGAAAAGUAGUUUGCAGGUAGCCAGAGUCCUCCAACAAAGAGUGACCAGCCUUUAUUACAUGCUCCAGUAUUAAGCUUCACACAGAGAAGCACGAAGUGCCAAAGACACCCAUUGGAUCCACUUCUAGGUCCAGCAAGCAAGCCUAUGAUGGCCCUCUGGAGAAUAACUGCCUUCAGGAAGUGUUUCACAUACUCUACCCUACAGGGGACAUGCAUUCUACAAAAAACAAACUUUCCACGGGCCAAUACUUUCUCUUUGGAGUUGCUGUGCCUGGAGGAGAUACUUGGAACGGCUGCCGCCAUCUUGCUACUGGCCUGACCCUGAAGCCAACAGUGAGGAACAGAAAGGCUAAGGAGUGGAGGUGGAGAUGCAGUGUUUCCCAGGUGGCUUGCUAUGAUGCAGACAUCGGUGUGAUAAUGACCUUAGUCCAGCGGUGAGGCUUCAUGGGUGGCUAUGCCAGGUACCUGGCCAAACUGUCUUAGAGAGAAGUGGUCUAGUUGGAUUCCUUCUGAAGGAGAAGGCCACACAGAAAAGCAGGUUUUCUUACUGGAGGGUUCUGUUUCUAGAGAAACCAACCUAAACCCCACGCUUCUGACUAAAUGAGCUGGCACAGCAGGGUGCUAGAACCAUCAUCCACGUGGAUACUGAAAUUUCCAAGAAUUAUGACAGGAGUAACGUUGGAGGGGAAGACAGUUACCUGGGUAUUACAAUCACUGAGGCUGAGGCCAAGAGACCUGGGGCUCAAAACAGGACUCUGUUUACUCCACAUCUGCACUGAGAAGCUGAACACUGUUGGAAAGAAACCCACCAUCACCCAAUGACCUGCACUUUGAGUGAGUGAUCGCAGAAGUCCUGUCAGUUCUGCACGCAGCUUGGUCAUCACGCUACAUUGCCCAGCGCGCAUGCUAUCUGAAUUGACUAACCUCAUUGAUGUUAUUUUACCUAUUGAAAAGAUAAACUCCCAACAUCAGUGGCUUAAUCUGUUAACAGUUUCUUUCUUUCUUCUGGCAUAAAUCCCAAACAAGAAUUCCUGAUCGGCAGGUAAGGUUCUAACUCUAGGUGAUGAUUCAGGGAUCCCAGGCUCUUACCCUCUUGUCACCUUGCCAUCUUUGUCUCUUGGUUGUCAAGGUUGCAGCUUGGGGAAGGAGCAUGGAGGAUCACAUGUGGGAGGACAUCAUUAUCACAUUUCACUGGGUCUAUGAUGACUGUACACCCAAUCUUCCACGGACCAUGUGACAGUAUAUAAGUCCCCCAUGCUUCUGACACAACUGUGGGGAAGGGGUGGUACAGAACUGACAGGGAUUAAUUUUCUACCACUGACUGAACGGGGGCCUAAAAAAGGAAAUUAAGUUUAUCUAUAGAAGGUAAGUUAAAUGCUUUUCAACUUGGGUUUGUGUGCUGAGAUCCAUACAUACCACAUGUCUGAACUGCUAUCUGGAGGAGGUGAUUUUGGAAUAGAAGUGGAAGAGCAUGGAAUUGAAAAACCUGAUGAGAAAGUUGAAAAUUGCUUCUGGUGGGAGGACAGUGAUACAGUUUUUGAAGCCUUUAAUGGUGAACUGCAAACAGGGCUCCAUUCACCCAUGCAGCACUUUUGUUAGAGAAAGGCCACAGCGCCAUGCCAGGGUGCAUGGCUGUGGGCAGUGCAGUGUGGGCUGGAUUCUAUCCCCUACCACGCCUUUUGCCACAUAACAUUGUGCAUAAUACAUCUGCACAUCGAUAUGUGGCAGUCCGAUAUCAAAGCAACUAUAUAUGCUCCUUCCCUGUGGGAGACUGAAUUAAUGACCCUGGUUUUGUUUGUUAGUUUAUUUACUUCUUCCUGUACCCAUACCCUUUGCCAUAUGACUUUUCAGUUCUUUCCACUAAAAAAGUGGGCUUUAUUUUUCUGAUGCUUGACUUUGAGUUUGGCUAUGUAAUGAGCUUUGGCCAGUGGAAUGUUAACGAAUGUGAGAUGACCCAAAAGUAGAAGCACUUGCAUGACUGGACUUGCCCUCUUAUACCUCUGGCAACACCUUGAGAAGCAUGUGUCCAGGCUAGCCCACUGGUCCCAAAAAGAGGAUGAGAAACAUGUGGAGCAGAGCCAAGUCACUCAAGCCAAGCCCAGACUAGAUCCAUUGAUCUUCAGUGAACCCUACAGAUGCAUGAGUAAGCCCAGCAGAGAUCAGCAGAACCACUCAGCCAAAGCCCUGCCUCGAUCAGCUAGACUCUUGUUGACUCAUAGACUCAUGGGCUAAAUAAAUGCUUAUUGUUGUUUA